rnacentral:rRNA from 1 species
AUUGAACGCUGGCGGCAGGCCUAACACAUGCAAGUCGAGCGGAUGAAGGGAGCUUGCUCCUGGAUUCAGCGACGGACGGGUGAGUAAUGCCUAGGAAUCUGCCUGGUAGUGGGGGAUAACGUCCGGAAACGGGCGCUAAUACCGCAUACGUCCUGAGGGAGAAAGUGGGGGAUCUUCGGACCUCACGCUAUCAGAUGAGCCUAGGUCGGAUUAGCUAGUUGGUGGGGUAAAGGCCUACCAAGGCGACGAUCCGUAACUGGUCUGAGAGGAUGAUCAGUCACACUGGAACCGAGACACGGUCCAGACUCCUACGGGAGGCAGCAGUGGGGAAUAUUGGACAAUGGGCGAAAGCCUGAUCCAGCCAUGCCGCGUGUGUGAAGAAGGUCUUCGGAUUGUAAAGCACUUUAAGUUGGGAGGAAGGGCAGUAAGUUAAUACCUUGCUGUUUUGACGUUACCAACAGAAUAAGCACCGGCUAACUUCGUG